rnacentral:rRNA from 1 species
GACGAACGCUGGCGGCGUGCUUAACACAUGCAAGUCGAACGGAAAGGCCCUGCUUUUUUGGGGUUCUCGAGUGGCGAACGGGUGAGUAACACGUGAAUAACCUGCCCUUGACUUUGGUAUAACUUCAGGAAACUGGGGCUAAUACCGUAUAGGAGCUCCUGCUGCAUUGUGGGGGUUGGAAAGUUUCGGCGGUUGGGGAUGGACUCGCGGCUUAUCAGCUUGUUGGUGGGGUAGUGGCUUACCAAGGCUUUGACGGGUAGCCGGCCUGAGAGGGUGACCGGCCACAUUGGGACUGAGAUACGGCCCAGACUCCUACGGGAGGCAGCAGUGGGGAAUAUUGCACAAUGGGAGGAAGCCUGAUGAAGCAACGCCGCGUGCGGGAUGACGGCCUUCGGGUUGUAAAACGCUUUCGCCUGUGACGAAGCGUGAGUGACGGUAAUGGGUAAAGAAGCACCGGCUAACUACGUG